UUUUUUUUUUUUUUUUUGAUCAUUUUAAUCAUCAUACCAUAAUCACAUUAAAAUUGGCAGAACUCCCAUGACAGACAGAACAGAGACCUGUCAUGCAAGGAAAAAUAGUGAGAGUUUCAUAAAGCUUGAGAGAAGCACCAGGGCUACACAGGGCAGCUGCAGCAAUCUCAGAGGACAGUGCCACAGUGCUGGAGCAGGGUAGGAACAAAUGGUGCUACAGCGACAGCUGGCCUGAGGCCACUGGGGCUUCCUAACAGGAAUUUCCUAAUAUGCUUGGGAAGCAGAGCACUUUAACAGAUGUAAAUGGAGUAGGGUACUGCUUCUGCAGAAGCAGUUUGACUCAGAUAUAACACAUGACCUUAUUGGAGCCAAUGAUACUCUCUGUGCAUUUUGCUAUGUAUACUGAAAGAGAGGCAUGCAGGGUUUGUUGUUGCUGUUGUUAUUGUUUCAAGUGAAUCCAAAUCUAGAGAUACAGGCCUGGAGUCCUUAUUACUAUGUGGAGACUAAGAAUAAGUCAUCUAAAUAGAUUCUAGAUUCCACAACAAUAAUUUCAACUAAAUAUUUUUUAAAAGUCAAAGAAUACAUGACUUUCCAGAAAGAGUCCAAAUUUGAAAUAGAGAUUCAUCAAUAUUAGGUCAUUUUUGUUUUUCUGUAGUACAACCUAGACAUCUUAAUUUUUAAUCUCUCCUUAAAAGUACUUUGAAGAUCAACAUUUCUCCCUUUCUUGAUUAACCAUUGCCUUGCAUAUAUUUGGAGAUGAUUUUAUUUUUAUCCUAUAAUCUUCAAUAUAAAUACAUAGUUUGGUUAGCUGUUAUCCUAACCAAAUGAAAAAUAAAAUCAUAUUUUUAAACAGACAAUGCCAGAGGGGAAAAUGAGCUCUUUUAGAAACAAUAUUUUUGAUAUAUAAUAAUAUAAUAUUCUGAAAUAUAAUGCUCCAGCCUACAUUAUGACUACAAUGGGUGAUUGAUGCCCCUACUCUUUAACAAUUCUCUCAAAGAACCAUCUAGAAAUCUAUCAGAGAUCUUACUUACACAUGAAUACCAGAGUAGGAGAGAGGAAAAAAACCCAAAUUAUCCUCUUCUCUCUUUUGUUGGCCUAGGUUCUAAAUAAUUCCUUAAGAUUCUUAAAAAGUAUUAUAGCUAUGGCUUAGUUUUUUUAGAAAGUGUUCAAAAUAACUUUUUUAAAUCAAUUUCUCAAAGUUCUUUUUUUCAGUACCUCCCAAGGAACAAUUUUUACUAAAUUACAUAAAAGCAAAGAUUAAUAAUCAACUUCAAAUACAUUUGAUACAUUAGAAUUAUAUUCUAUCAAAUCUCAAGUUCCAAGCCCUACCUUAUCUCCUAUUUAAAUACAAGGAUGACAGUAUAGUCCAGUAUUUAAGGGAAUCAUUCAAAGUUCUAAAUCUAAUAUGACUAACAAAAUGAAUUAUUAUAAGAAUGGCAGUAUUUCUAUAUUAAAAGGAUCAUUUACCAUG
rnacentral:lncRNA from 1 species